CGUGGGGUGCAAGCGUUAAUCGGAAUUACUGGGCGUAAAGCGUGCGCAGGCGGUUAUAUAAGUCAGAUGUGAAAUCCCCGGGCGUCAACCUGGGAACGUGCAUUUGAGACUGUAUGGCUAGAGUGUGUCAGAGGGGGGUAGGAAUUCCACGUGUAGCAGUGAAAUGCGUAGAUAUGUGGAGGAAUACCGAUGGCGAAGGCAGCCCCUCGGGAUAACACUGACGCUCAUGCACGAAAGCGUGGGAGACAAACAGGAUU
rnacentral:rRNA from 1 species